ACGGACCAUAAACGGAGGACACCACUCAAACACCGGAAAGUCGUUAGUUUUUCAAAAUAAAGGCCCGGCAGAGUGAGCGUGGAUCAAGAUCCUCUGACCGCGCAACAACCUAUCGUUACUCUUUGGACUCUUUAAUCAAAAUGACAGGGCCUUUGGAAACUACAGGAACCCCCCCGGCCGGCUGUGGAUGACCGCGGGCGUCCCUCCACAGAUAACAGCAGCUCCACUGGACACCAGACACUCAUCCAUAUGGAGAUGCUGUUACAGCUGGUGAGACCCACACUCCAGCUGCAGCACUGGGGUUGACAUGCACCAUAACCACCAAUUGAGGAACACGUAAUUACAGAGAAAGUACAUCACCGCAGUGAGUGAGUGAGUGAGUGAGUGAGUGAGAGAGAGAGAGAGAGAGAGAGAGAGAGAGAGAGAGAGAGAGAGAGAGAGAGAGAGAGAGAGAGAGAGAGAGAGAGAGAGAGAGAGAGAGAGAGAGAGAGAGAGAGAGAGAGAGAGAGAGAGAGAGAGAGAGAGAGAGAGA